rnacentral:tRNA from 1 species
GCCCCGGUAGCUUAGCCUGGUUAGAGCGUCUCACUGGUAAUGAGAAGGUCCCGGGUUCGAAUCCCGGCCGGGGCU